UGUAGAAUAUACUAAGGCGCUCGAGUGAAUCAUGGCUAAGGAACUCGGCAAAUUAACCCUGUAACUUCGGGAAAAAGGGUGCCCAUAGCAAUAUGGGCCGCAGUGAAAUAGCGGUGGCGACUGUUUAUCAAAAACACAUGGCUUUGCAAAAUCGAAAGAUGAAGUAUAAGGCCUGACACCUGCCCAAUGCUGGAAGGUUAAGAGGAGAGGUUAGUAGUAAUACAAAGCUUUGAAUCGAAGCCCCAGUGAAUGGCGGCCGUAACAAUAACGGUCCUAAGGUAGCGAAAUUCCUUGUCGGGUAAGUUCCGACCUGCACGAAUGGUGUAACGAUCUCCGCUCUGUCUCAGCCAUGAGCUCGGUGAAAUUGUAGUAUCGGUGAAGAUGCCGAUUACCCGCAACGGGACGGAAAGACCCCGUGCACCUUUACUAUAGCUUAACAUUGACUUUGGAUAACUAAUGUGUAGGAUAGGUGGGAGACUUUGAAGCAGUGGCGCCAGCCAUUGUGGAGUCGUCCUUGAAAUACCACCCUUUGGUUAUUUGAAUUCUAAUCCCUCAAAAGGGGAGACAUUGUUUGGUGGGUAGUUUGACUGGGGUGGUCGCCUCCAAAAUUGUAUCGGAGGCUUUCAAAGGUACCCUCAGCACGCUUGGUAACCGUGCGUAGAGUGCAAUAGCAUAAGGGUGCUUGACUGUGAGACCUACAAGUCGAGCAGGGUCGAAAGACGGAUAUAGUGAUCCGGUGGUUCCGUGUGGAAGGGCCAUCGCUCAAAGGAUAAAAGGUACGCCGGAUAACAGGCUGAUCACCCCCAAGAGCUCAUAUCGACGGGGUGGUUUGGCACCUCGAUGUCGGCUCGUCACAUCCUGGGGCUGGAGAAGGUCCCAAGGGUUGAGCUGUUCGCUCAUUAAAGUGGCACGCGAGCUGGGUUCAGAACGUCGUGAGACAGUUCGGUCCCUAUCUGUUGUGGGCGUUAGAAAUUUGAGAGGACCUGACUCUAGUACGAGAGGACCGAGUUGGACAGACCUCUAGUGUACCUGUUGUGGCGCCAGCUGCAUUGCAGGGUAGCUACGUCUGGUCGAGGUAAGCGCUGAAAGCAUCUAAGCGCGAAACUCGCCUCAAGAUAAGAUUUCUUUUAAGGGUCGUAAUAGACUAUUACGUUGAUAGGUUGCAAGUGUAAAGGCAGUAAUGUCAAAGCUGAGCAAUACUAAUUACUC
rnacentral:rRNA from 1 species